GCCAGUGUGGUGUAGUGGUUUGACUAUUGGACUAGGGCUCUGGAGACUAGGGCUCAAAUCCCUGCUUGGCCA